rnacentral:rRNA from 1 species
AGUAACACGUAGAUGACCUGCCCCAUAGUGGGGAAUAACAGCCUGAAAGGGUUGCUAAUACCGCAUAAGCUCCUGGUCGUGGGACGAGGAGGAAACGCUUAGGCGGCUAAGGGAGGGGUCUGCGGCGGAUUAGCUAGAUGGUGGGGUAAAGGCCUACCAUGGCGACGAUCCGUAGCUGGUCUGAGAGGAUGAUCGGCCACACUGGCACUGAGAUACGGGCCAG